GUGCCUGAAACUUUGUCUCAACCUGAGUCAUUUGAUGAAAAGGUGAGCAAAGUUUCAGGUGUGU
rnacentral:pre_miRNA from 1 species